CCUCCAUUUCUUGGCAUACAUGCUGUUGCUCAGUACUGGUGUAUGUAUGUUUGGAGGUAGAUGAAGCCAAUGCUAUGUCACACAUUUCCACACGU